CAAUAGCGUAUAUUAAAGUUGUUGCAGUUAAAAAGCUCGUAGUUGGAUUUGUGGCGUACGGUGUGUUCCGGGCACUUGUUGUCUGAGUAACCUGCUGUUGCCAUCCUUGGGUGGAACCUGUGUGGCAUUAGGUUGUCGUGCAGGGGAUGCCCAUCAUUUACUGUGAAAAAAUUAGAGUGUUCAAAGCAGGCUUAUGCCGUUGAAUAUAUUAGCAUGGAAUAAUGAGAUAGGACUUUUUUGCUAUUUUGUUGGUUUGCGCAAGAAGGUAAUGAUUAAUAGGGACAGUUGGGGGUAUUCGUAUUCCAUUGUCCGAGGUGAAAUUCUUGGAUUUUUGGAAGACGAACUACUGCGAAAGCAUUUACCAAGGAUGUUUUCAUUAA
rnacentral:rRNA from 1 species